CAUGUAGGCGGUUUGGUAAGCCUGACGUGAAAGGCUAUGGCUCAACCAUGGCAUGGCGUUGGGAACUGCUAGACUUGAAUCACGGAGAGGGAGCUGGAAUUCCAGGUGUAGGGGUGAAAUCUGUAGAUAUCUGGAAGAACACCAGUGGCGAAGGCGAGCUCCUGGCCGAUGAUUGACGCUGAGGUGCGAAAGUGUGGGAUCAAACA
rnacentral:rRNA from 1 species